GACGAACGCUGGCGGCGUGCUUAACACAUGCAAGUCGAACGGAAAGGCCCUGCUUUUGUGGGGUGCUCGAGUGGCGAACGGGUGAGUAACACGUGAGUAACCUGCCCUUGACUUUGGGAUAACUUCAGGAAACUGGGGCUAAUACCGGAUAGGAGCUCCUGCUGCAUGGUGGGGGUUGGAAAGUUUCGGCGGUUGGGGAUGGACUCGCGGCUUAUCAGCUUGUUGGUGGGGUAGUGGCUUACCAAGGCUUUGACGGGUAGCCGGCCUGAGAGGGUGACCGGCCACAGUGGGACUGAGAUACGGGCCAGACUCCUACGGGAGGAAGCAGUGGGGAAUAUUGCACAGUGGGCGGAAGCCUGAUGCAGCAACGCCGCGUGCGGGAUGACGGCCUUCGGGUUGUAAACCGCUUUCGCCUGUGACGAAGCGUGAGUGACGGUAAUGGGUAAAGAAGCACCGGCUAACUACGUG
rnacentral:rRNA from 1 species